rnacentral:rRNA from 1 species
GCGUUGUUCGGAAUCAUUGGGCGUAAAGCGCGUGUAGGCGGUUUGUUAAGUCGAGUGUGAAAUCCCUGGGCUCAACCGAGGAAGUGCAUUCGAAACUAACUGGCUAGAAGACGGUAGAGGAAGGUGGAAUUCCAAGUGUAGAGGUGAAAUUCGUAGAUAUUUGGAGGAAUACCGGUGGCGAAGGCGGCCUUCUGGACCGAUCUUGACGCUGAGACGCGAAAGCGUG